rnacentral:rRNA from 1 species
CCUACGGGACGCAGCAGUGGGGAAUAUUGCACAAUGGGCGCAAGCCUGAUGCAGCCAUGCCGCGUGUAUGAAGAAGGCCCUAGGGUUGUAAAGUACUUUCAGUCGGGAGGAAGGCGUUGAUGCUAAUAUCAUCAACGAUUGACGUUACCGACAGAAGAAGCACCGGCUAACUCCGUGCCAGCAGCCGCGGUAAUACGGAGGGUGCAAGCGUUAAUCGGAAUUACUGGGCGUAAAGCGCACGCAGGCGGUUGAUUAAGUUAGAUGUGAAAUCCCCGGGCUUAACCUGGGAAUGGCAUCUAAGACUGGUCAGCUAGAGUCUUGUAGAGGGGGGUAGAAUUCCAUGUGUAGCGGUGAAAUGCGUAGAGAUGUGGAGGAAUACCGGUGGCGAAGGCGGCCCCCUGGACAAAGACUGACGCUCAGGUGCGAAAGCGUGGGGAGCAAACAGGAUUAGAUACCCCAGUAGUC